AACGAACGCUGGCGGCAGGCCUAACACAUGCAAGUCGAGCGAGGACUUCGGUCCUAGCGGCGGACGGGUGAGUAACGCGUGGGAACGUGCCCUUUGCUACGGAAUAGCCCUGGGAAACUGGGCGGAAUACCGUAUGUGCCCUUCGGGGGAAAGAUUUAUCGGCAAAGGAUCGGCCCGCGUUGGAUUAGGUAGUUGGUGGGGUAAUGGCCUACCAAGCCGACGAUCCAUAGCUGGUUUGAGAGGAUGAUCAGCCACACUGGGACUGAGACACGGCCCAGACUCCUACGGGAGGCAGCAGUGGGGAAUCUUAGACAAUGGGCGCAAGCCUGAUCUAGCCAUGCCGCGUGAGCGAUGAAGGCCUUAGGGUUGUAAAGCUCUUUCAGUGGGGAAGAUAAUGACGGUACCCACAGAAGAAGCCCCGGCUAACUCCGUGCCAGCCGCCGCAGUAAAAC
rnacentral:rRNA from 1 species